UGCAAGUCGAGCGAUGAAGUUUCCUUCGGGAAACGGAUUAGCGGCGGACGGGUGAGUAACACGUGGGUAACCUGCCUCAUAGAGGGGAAUAGCCUCCCGAAAGGGAGAUUAAUACCGCAUAACAUUGCAGUUUCGCAUGAAACAGCAAUUAAAGGAGCAAUCCGCUAUGAGAUGGACCCGCGGCGCAUUAGCUAGUUGGUAAGGUAAUGGCUUACCAAGGCGACGAUGCGUAGCCGACCUGAGAGGGUGAUCGGCCACAUUGGGACUGAGACACGGCCCAGACUCCUACGGGAGGCAGCAGUGGGGAAUAUUGCACAAUGGGGGAAACCCUGAUGC
rnacentral:rRNA from 1 species